UGAACCCACAGAGGAACCAGUAGAGCAGCACAGGACCACAUACAGUCUCACUGAGUCAGUAGACAUGGAGGAUGGGAAGAUUGAUCUGUGGCUAGUCAAAGAGGAGACUAUAGAAGACAGACCAGAGUAUUGACCUGCUGAGUGGACUAAAGAUGGGGGAGCAAGGUAAGGGAGAAAUACAUAUAGCCUCCAUACAGUAAUAUAUCUUCAAUGAGAAUAGUGAUACGCCUGGCUAUUAUUUUUCUUCAUUCAUAAAAUGACAUUGACAUAAUAUACAACUUAAAGUAUGUUUAAAAACAAAAACACUCAAUGUAUGAACUUGACCAGAUAAUUGACACAAAAAAAAAUUACAUAAAGUUCUCCACCAUGUUUUUUUAAAGUCUAUUUUCUAACCUCUUCCUGCAAGUGGUUGGCUGGAGGAUAACAGAGGAGAAUGGGCAGCCUUCUUGGAUUCCCAGACUUGUGCAACGAAGGCCCCUGGGGAUUCAUUUUUUUAUUUUAUUUCACCUUUAUUUAACCAGUCCAUGAAGACCUGCUGAUAUCUGGUGUUGCUGGCGGGAGAGACUGGACCUCUGAAGCGGCUGGUCACAAACCCUGACCCUGGAUCAGAAACCGUCCCUCUUCCUUCCUAAGUCAGAACCAGGACCGAACCACGAGGGACAGAGACUCCACCACCACACAGAACACAACCAGUGGACAGGUGGACUGAACAUCCUCAGUCCUGGUGGUCAUCAGAGAGACUGUGGCCCCACCCUGGGCUUCAGCCUUCACAGAGACUGGUGGUAGUCUAUCAGCAAGUCUGUCUUCUCCGACAGGGUCUUGUUUAAUGCCUGGUGACUGGGUUCAUAGAAAGUCUGAAGCUGGACCUAUGUCUAGCCUUCCUCAGUUACCUCAUGGUUACCCCACCAAUACAGAGAUGGUCAGCUUGCACGUUCACCAGAAGAGUUACAUAGCCUACAACACAGCAAACAAUCCAAACAACAUCCAGUCAAGGAGGGAGCUCAAAGACUAACCACCUGAACCACCUCUGGUGUUAUUGGGUCACAACAUGGGAGGCCGAGCAUUAGGACGGACGCCGACAAGCCGUAUGCCUGCCCCCUAUGUGGAAAGCGCUUCGCUGAGGCGAACUUUCUGAAGGACCACCAGACUGUUCACACCAAGGACAGGCCCUUCAAUUGUAAGCUGUGUUAAGGCUUCCCAGCCAAAACCGUUUGGAAGAGUUUGUGCAUAUAUUAUGAGGCAAGCCGAAGUCUACGCCCCUUUGUCAGUUACUGGUCAACAGUAGAGGUUCUUCAUUAAAGUCUUUGUCAUUCAACGAGAGACGACUAGUUGUCGUGCACAUUUUUACAUUGAGAUAUACAGCACCAAACCAUCUUAGUUAGCUGUGAAAUUGCGCAACUAAGAUCUUGGCAAAAGCGUCCAAUUGAAUGAUGAGUUAACACUGACUAUUUUGAGGAAGUGUAGACUGGCUACAGCGUCCAAAAUGGACAAAUGGUACUAUUGCUGUUUUUUUGUGUUUUUUUUUUCAAGCAAAGGUCUUAAUUAACGGAGUAUGCGAGCACACUUGUUCGGUUAGGCGCCACACGAACUGAAGAAUGCUGACGCCUUUACAAGAGCUUCUCCUUCGGGAGUAACCUUAUCUGACACAGGAGUGUCCACAAUGGGGAGACAUUGUAGCACUGUGGUUUGGGAUGUACACAGGGGUUUUCUGGGAACCAUUCUUUAGUUGACAUUAUUAUAGUUAUCAUAUGAAGUGUCUCGGGGUAAGAGGGUAAUUAACCACAUACCCCUCAUUAACCCUUAUUUACCUUACUGAGGUCAUUUCGAUGGAAUAAAGUAAUUAUAUUA